rnacentral:tRNA from 1 species
CGGGUCGUUAGCUCAGUUGGUAGAGCAGUUGACUUUUAAUCAAUUGGUCGCAGGUUCGAAUCCUGC